GCAAGUCGAGGGGUAACAGGGAAGCUUGCUUCCGCUGACGACCGGCGCACGGGUGCGUAACGCGUAUAGAACCUACCUUUUACAGAGGGAUAGCCUUUAGAAAUGAAGAUUAAUACCUCAUAGUAUUUUGAAUUGGCAUCGAUUUAAAAUUAAAGAUUUAUCGGUAAAAGAUGGCUAUGCGUCCUAUUAGCUAGAUGGUAAGGUAACGGCUUACCAUGGCAACGAUAGGUAGGGGCCCUGAGAGGGGGAUC
rnacentral:rRNA from 1 species